UUCUUUCCAAUCCCUUCUAGCUAGCGAUCAAGGAAAAGAUCGAUUUUCUCGGGAAAAUCUUAGCUACUACAGCCACAAAGAGGGAGUCAUUGUCUUUCUUCUCCAUUUGCUCUUCAUAACAAGUAAAUUUUUCUGCUGCACUUGUUCGAUUUCCAGGCAUAUAAACCACAAAUUGAUUGACCUGGGUUAACCCGUGUAAUUUAAAACCCGGUUUUGUAGCCGAGUUAACUUUCCGGCAGAUGGCUUCUCUCUCUUUUGCCUUUUUUCGAGGAACUUGCCCUUUUAGGGAAAUUACCUUACCUUCUUUAAGGUCAAUCAAUCUGUACCUGGUUUAGUUUUGUCUAGUUUAAUUAAGACCUACCUGUAUUACUGUUAAUAAAUUUAUUUCCCCGACAGAGCUUGCUUUCUGCUUUGACUUUUCCCUUAACCUGGCUGCUGUUUUGUUUGCGGUUUGCGGUUUGCAUGCUGCCACGGGUGGUGGUGGCGCCAGGGGUACGGCGAACGUGAGAGACCCGAAUAGUUCGUUGGGGUUCACUAUUUAAGAAAAAUAUCUGGGUGAGCAGCGGCGUAACACCGCCCUAUCUAGUAAUGGCUAAAUCUGGAGUGCCUCUUAACAAUCUUCUGGUUUUCAAUAUGUCCUUGCUCAUGCCGAAACUCUAUGGCACUUGUUCCUUAUUCAACCUUACUUCAUACAGAUUUGAUCAAGCAAGCAUGAAGCAAAAAUGUGUAAAAGAUCCAAAUAGUUGUUCAAACUCAAAAGAUGGUUGGAAGCAUUUUGGAUUUUUCCUUCUCCGACAAAGACGUGAAUGGUCAAGUUAACCCAGUACCACAAAUAUUCCAUAGGAAGCAUGUGUUGGCAAGUCUAGGAUGUCACAGUUAGAAGGAAGCAAUCCAUUGGCUUAGCAGAGUCAAGGCCUCCAUGUUAAAGCAUUAAUCAAUCUUAGAAUACUGGAAACCUGAGAAUCAAACUAGCAUUUAGCACAAGGAAGACCAUCACCACCGUUUCUGCUGUCAGAUUUCACUGGUUUUCGAGUGCAUAUUUCAUAUUUAUGAGACAUUCAUAAGCUCUGUUACUGGCUUGUCCAAGA